AUACGUAGGUGACAAGCGUUAUCCGGAUUUACUGGGCGAAAAGGGCGUGUAGGCGGUCUUGCAAGUCAGUAGUGGAAGUCCAUUUUUCAAGGAUGGAAGUGCUACAGAAACUGCGGAGCUUGAGAGCAGGAGAGGUUAUCGGAAUUCCCGGUGUAGCGGAGAAAUGCGUAGAGAUCGGGAGGAAAACCAGUGGCGAAGGCGGGUAACUGGACUGCAACUGACGCUGAGGCGCGAAAGUGUGGGGAGCAAACAGGAUUAGAUACCCUGGUAGUCCACACUGUAAACGAUGAAUGCUAGGUGUAGGAGGUAUCGACCCCUUCUGUGCCGCAGUAAACACAGUAAGCAUUCCGCCUGGGGAGUACGGUCGCAAGAUUAAAACUCAAAGGAAUUGACGGG
rnacentral:rRNA from 1 species